UCUUUGCUAGUAUAUCGGUUAGUACACGCGCCUGUCAUUUCUGCAGAUUUGCAAGGUGCGCGCGAAAGCUGGGUUCGACUCCCAGGCAAAGAG